rnacentral:rRNA from 1 species
UCUGCUCAAAUGAUUUUUUAAAUUGCUGUGGUAUUUUGACUAUACAAAGGUAUUGUAAUAAGACUUUAAUUGGGUGCUAAGAGAAUGGAUUUUCAAAAAAAUUCUUUUUUAAAUUUAAAAAUUAAAGUUAUUUUUAUUUGUGAAGAAACAAUAAUAUGAAUUAAAGACAAGAAGACCCUAUGAAUUUUGAUUGGUUUAAUAUUAAAGUUAAUAUUUAAUUCAAUUUAAUUGGGGCGAUUAAGAAAUAUUAAAAACUUUUUAUUUUUAAAAAGACCCAUUAAUAAUGAUUAUAUGAAAUAAAUACUCUAGGGAUAACAGCGUAAUAAUUUUAGAUAGCUCUUAUAGAAAAAAUAGUUUGCGACCUCGAUGUUGGAUUAGGAUACUUAUUUAAUGAAGAAGUUAAAAUAAGAAGUUUGUUCAAUAUUUAAAUCCUACUUGAUCUGAGUGUCAGACCGGA